UACGGAGGGUGCGAGCGUUGUCCGGAAUCACUGGGCGUAAAGGGCGCGUAGGUGGCCUGAUGAGUCAACGGUGAAAGCUCGACGCUCAACGUCGAGUCGGCCGUCGAUACUGUCGGGCUGGAGCACUGUAGAGGCUCAUGGAAUUCCGGGUGUAGCGGUGGAAUGCGUAGAGAUCCGGAAGAACACCGGUGGCGAAGGCGGUGAGCUGGGCAGGAGGCCGCGAGGCCUAUAAUGCUGACACUGAGGCGCGACAGCGUGGGGAGCAAACAGG
rnacentral:rRNA from 1 species